CAAGAUCGACAAAGGCAUACAAAAUUAAAAAUGUCUAUGGCUGUUUGAAUGUCCAUCAGGAAAAUACCUCGUAGAUGUGUGAAUGUCCUGGAAAAUCUCUCUUCGAUGGACAUUACUGCUCAUAGCUUUGAGUCUAAGGACGAAUUCAGUAGGCAAUCUCUCUUCUAUGGACAUUACUCGUCUAUAGACAACUGAUGGCUCGAAUAUGUCAUGAAUUCUUGUCCAUGAUACUUUCAUCGGAUUUGGUCCACUAGAUCUAGUCCAUCAGAUCUAUUCCAUCAGAUUCUAGUACAUCUACAGACAAAUGUGUUAUCCAUAGCGUAAAUUUGGUUAGAUCGUGGAUGACGUCUUUCAUAGAUGUAUUAUUUUUUUCAUCCUCUGGUCAAUCAGUUUUGGUUUUAAGAAAUUUUAAGAUAGACAAGAUUAAUUAGUAAACAUUAACAAGUUUGGUCUACCGAUUUCGAUCUAUCAGAUCUGGUCCACUGAGAGAUAAAUACAAAAUCUGGUCCACUGUCGGAUCUAGUCCGUCGAAACCAGAACUGGUCUACCGGAGCUGGUCCACCGGAAUUGUUAAGGUAUUUGUUGUUGAAGAAAGAAAAAAAAAAGAUGAAAGAAGAAGAGAAAGAAAGAGAUGAAAGAAAAAGAUGAGAUGAAAGAAAAAGAUGAGAUGAAAGAGAAAGAGAUGAAAGAAAAGAGAGAAAGGUUUAGAAGGCCAAAUUUGACAUUUGAAUAACUUAAAAGUGGGUCAUGUGGCAUUUUUUAAAAAGUUGUAUUGAAUGUGGCAUUUUUCAGAAGUUUGGCCGUUUGGAUACUGUUCAUGGUUCUAAAAAUAACCAUAGUGAUAACAACAUGUUAGAUAUGACAAUAAGGUGUAUAUUUUUUUAUUGUUUUACACUAUGAAUAUGGGAUUUGAGAGAAUCAAAUUUAUGUAAAUGCAC
rnacentral:lncRNA from 1 species